UGAUAGGUGUGGUGGACGGAGAACUAAUUGUAUUAAAAUUGCUACCUACUUGCUUCGAUUUGAAAUUUUUAGUGUCCGUGUUGUUAUCA